AGCAGCCGCGGUAAUUCCAGCUCCAAUAGCGUAUAUUAAAGUUGCUGCAGUUAAAAAGCUCGUAGUUGAAUUUCGGGACCAAUCUGCCGGUCGUGCCUCCGGUACGCACUGGUUUUAUUGGUCUCUCCCUUCUGACGAACCAUGAUGUCAUUAAUUUGGUGUCAUGGGGAAUCAGGACUGUUACUUUGAAAAAAUUAGAGUGUUUAUAGCAGGCUCACGCUUGAAUACAUUAGCAUGGAAUAAUGAAAUAGGACGUUUGACCCUAUUUUGUUGGUUUCUAGGAUCGACGUAAUGAUUAAUAGGGAUAGUUGGGGGCAUUAGUAUUCAAUUGUCAGAGGUGAAAUUCUUGGAUUUAUUGAAGACUAACUACUGCGAAAGCAUUUGCCAAGGAUGUUUUCAUUAAUCAAGAACGAAAGUUAGGGGAUCGAAGACGAUCAGAUACCGUCGUAGUCUUAACCAUAAACUAUGCCGACUAGGGAUCGGAUGAUGUUAAUUUUUUUAAUGACUCAUUCGGCGCCUU
rnacentral:rRNA from 1 species